rnacentral:rRNA from 1 species
CGGCGGACGGGUGAGUAAUGUCUGGGAAACUGCCCGAUGGAGGGGGAUAACUACUGGAAACGGUAGCUAAUACCGCAUAACGUCGCAAGACCAAAGAGGGGGACCUUCGGGCCUCUUGCCAUCGGAUGUGCCCAGAUGGGAUUAGCUAGUAGGUGGGGUAACGGCUCACCUAGGCGACGAUCCCUAGCUGGUCUGAGAGGAUGACCAGCCACACUGGAACUGGGACACGGUCCAG